GGCGUACAGCUCAGUAACACGUGGCCAACCUACCCUUGGGACAGGGACAACCCCGGGAAACUGAGGUUAAUCCCUGAUAGGUGAAAACUCCUGGAAUGGAUUUUCGCUUAAAGGGCGUUUAAACCAUGCUAUAGAUGUCGCCCAAGGAUGGGGCCGCGGCCGAUCAGGUUGUUGGUGAGGUAACGGCUCACCAAGCCUAUAACCGGUACGGGCCGUGAGAGCGGAAGCCCGGAGAUGGGCACUGAGAUAAGGGCCCAGGCCCUACGGGGCGCAGCAGUUACGAAAACUCCCCAAUUCACGAAAGUGUGAGGGGGCUAUCCCGAGUGCCGUCCGCUGAGGAUGGCUUUUCCCCAUUGUAUAAAGCUGGGGGAAUAAGGAGAGGGCAAGACUGGUGUCAGCCGCCGCGGUAAUACCAGCUCUCCGAGUGGUGGGGACGUUUAUUGGGCCUAAAGCAUCCGUAGCCUGUUGGGAAAGUCCUUCGUUAAAUCCACCGAUUCAAUCGGUGGGCUGCGGGGGAUACUGUUCAACUAGGGAGCGGGAGAGGCUGACCGUAUUCUCGGAGUAGGGGUGAAAUCCUAUAAUUCCGAGAGGACCACCAGUGGCGAAGGCUGUCAGCUAGAACGCGUCCGACGGUGAGGGAUGAAAGCUGGGGGAGCGAACCGGAUUAGAUACCCGGGUAGUCCCAGCUGUAAACUCUGCAGGCUAGGUGUUGGAGCGGCUACGUGCCGCCUCAGUACCCAAGGGAAGCCGUUAAGCCUGCCGCCUGGGAAGUACGGUCGCAAGGCUGAAACUUAA
rnacentral:rRNA from 1 species